rnacentral:rRNA from 1 species
GGUAAGUGACUAAGCGUACACGGUGGAUGCCUAGGCAGUCAGAGGCGAUGAAGGAUGUGCUAAUCUGCGAAAAGCGCCGGUGAGCUGAUAUGAAGCGUUAUCAGCCGGCGAUGUCCGAAUGGGGAAAACCGGUACAACUCGUUGCAUCAUCGUCAGGUGAAUCCAUAGCCUGACGAAGCGAACCAGGGGAACUGAAACAUCUCAGUACCCUGAGGAAAAGAAAUCAACCGAGAUUCCCCCAGUAGCGGCGAGCGAACGGAGAACAGCCCAGAGCCAUCAUCAGCUUGCGCAUCAGGAGAACGGUCUGGAAAGUCCGGCGACAGAGGGUGAUAGCCCCGUAUCCGAAGGUGCGCUUGUUGUGAGCUCGAUGAGUAGGGCGGGACACGUGAUAUCCUGUCUGAAGAUGGGGGGGACCAUCCUCCAAGGCUAAAUACUCCUGACUGACCGAUAGUGAACCAGUACCGUGAGGGAAAGGCGAAAAGAACCCCGGAGAGGGGAGUGAAAUAGAACCUGAAACCGUGUAGGUACAAGCAGUGGGAGCAUCCUUCGGGGUGUGACUGGGUACCUUUUGUAUAAUGAGUCAGCGACUUAUAUUCUGUAGCAAGGUUAACCGUAUAGGGGCGUCGUAGGGAAACUGAGUCUUAACUGGGCGUCUAGUUGCAGGGUAUAGACCCGAAACCCGGUGAUCUAGCCAUGGGCAGGUUGAAGGUUGGGUAACACUAACUGGAGGACCGAAUCGACUAAUGUUGAAAAAUUAGCGGAUGACUUGUGCUGGGGUGAAAGGCCAAUCAAACCGGGAGAUAGCUGGUUCUCCCCGAAAGCUAUUUAGGUAGCGCCUCGUGAAGUCAUCUACGGGGGUAGAGCACUGUUUCGGCUAGGGGUCCAUCCCGGAUUACCAAUCCCGAUGCAAACUGCGAAUACCGUAGAAUGUUAUCACGGGAGACACACGGCGGGUGCUAACGUCCGUCGUGAAGAGGGAAACAACCCAGACCGCCAGCUAAGGUCCCAAAGUCAUGGUUAAGUGGGAAACGAUGUGGGAAGGCCCAGACAGCCAGGAUGUUGGCUUAGAAGCAGCCAUCAUUUAAAGAAAGCGUAAUAGCUCACUGGUCGAGUCGGCCUGCGCGGAAGAUGUAACGGGGCUAAACCAUGCACCGAAGCUGCGGCAGCGACACGUAAGAGUUGUUGGGUAGGGGAGCGUUCUGUAAGCCUGCGAAGGUGGCCUGUGAGGGCUGCUGGAGGUAUCAGAAGUGCGAAUGCUGAUAUAAGUAACGAUAAAGCGGGUGAAAAGCCCGCUUGCCGGAAGACCAGGGUUCCUGUUCAACGUUAAUCGGAGCAGGGUGAGUCGACCCCUAAGGCGAGGCCGAAAGGCGUAGUCGAUGGGAAACAGGUUAAUAUUCCUGUACUAAGUGUGACUGCGAAGGGGGGACAGAGAAAGCUAGGUUCGCCGGGCGACGGUUGUCCCGGUUCAAGCGUGAAGGUGGAACGAGCAGGCAAAUCCGCUCAUUCUUAACACUGAGGCGUGAUGACGAGCCACCACGGUGGUGAAGGAAUUGAUGCUACGCUUCCAGAAAAAGCCUCUAAGCUCCAGGUCACAUCGAAUCGUACCCCAAAGCGACACAGGUGGUCAGGUAGAGAAUAUCCAGGCGCUUGAGAGAACUCGGGUGAAGGAACUAGGCAAAAUGGCGCCGUAACUUCGGGAGAAGCACGCUGGCACGUAGGUGGAGGGCCUUGCGCCCCGAGCUGAAGCCAGUCGCAGAUACCAGCUGGCUGCAACUGUUUAUUAAAAACACAGCACUGUGCAAACACGAAAGUGGACGUAUACGGUGUGAUGCCUGCCCGGUGCCGGAAGGUUAAUUGAUGGCGUUAUCGCUUGCGAGAAGCUCUUGAUCGAAGCCCCGGUAAGCGGCGGCCGUAACUAUAACGGUCCUAAGGUAGCGAAAUUCCUUGUCGGGUAAGUUCCGACCUGCACGAAUGGCAUAAUGAUGGGCAGGCUGUCUCCACCCGAGACUCAGUGAAAUUGAACUCGCCGUGAAGAUGCGGUGUACCCGCGGCAAGACGGAAAGACCCCGUGAACCUUUACUAUAGCUUGACACUGAACAUUGAGCCUUGAUGUGUAGGAUAGGUGGGAGGCUUUGAAGACCCUGUACACGAUUCUGUGACCCUGUACACGAUUCUGUGUAAAUGCCUUUUCUCAGAAGUGACCGUCAGGCGGCACCGAACUCGAUAAUAAAGCGGCUCAUUGCAAUGCGCCAGUCCCUCAAAGGCAUUGUCCAUUUCUGUGAGGCCGCCUGUAUCGCCAGCCACACCACCUUUUUCACUGCGUCGUCGGUCGGGAACACCUUGCGCUUUUUGAUGGCAUGCCGGAUCACGCUGUUUAACGACUCGAUGGCGUUGGUCGUGUAGAUCACCUUGCGGAUGUCCGUUGGGUAGGCAAAGAACGUGGCCAGAUUGGCCCAGUUUGCCUGCCAGCUUCGACUUAUUUGCGGGUAGCGGAUGUCCCAGGCACUGGAGAACGCUUCCAGCGCCUGCAAGCCGGCUUCUUCCGUAGGGGCCUGAUAGAUAGCUUUCAGGUCGCGGGUGACGGCCUUGUAGUCCUUCCAGGAGACGAACCGCAGGCUGUUGCGCACCAUAUGCACGAUACACAGCUGGAGCCGCGCCUCCGGAUACACCGCGUUAAUAGCGUCGGGGAAACCUUUCAGCCCGUCUACGCAGGCGAUAAGGAUAUCGUUCAGGCCGCGGUUUUUCAGCUCUGUCAGCACGUUCAGCCAGAACUUUGCGCCUUUAUUUUCGGCCAGCCACAUACCUAGCAACUCUUUCUGGCCUUCGAUGUUGAUGCCCAGCGCCAGGAACACAGAUUUGUUGAUGAUGCGGCUGUCCUGCCGGACUUUUAGAACGAUACAAUCAAGAUAAACAAUGGGAUAGACUGCAUCCAGAGGCCGGUUUUGCCAUUCGACAACCUGCUCCAUGACCGCAUCGGUGACCUUUGAGACCAGCGCCGGCGAGACAUCGGCGUCAUACAGCUCUUUGAACGUGGCGGCGAUCUCGCGGGUGGUCAUCCCCUUGGCGUACAACGAUAAAAUCUGGUUAUCCAUCCCGGUAAUCCGGGUCUGGUUCUUCUUCACCAGUUGCGGUUCAAAGGAACCGUCACGAUCGCGCGGAGUACGCAGCGCCAGCGGGCCAUCGCCAGUGGUAACUGUUUUUGUGGAAUAGCCGUUGUGGGCGUUGGUCCCCGGCUUAGGUUGAUUUUUAUCGUAGCCGAGGUGAUGGGUCAUUUCGGCAUUGAGAGCUGCUUCGACGCUGAUUUUUUUCAGCAGCCGAUCGAAGUGACUGAGAUUUUCAGGGAUUUUGAGACUUUUGGCCAAUUCGUUAGCCAGAGCCUGCAACUGUUUUUCGUCCAUAAAUUAACCUGUUUUUGAUGUUGGAUUGAACAUAUCAAAAUCAGGCAAAUACACAAAUUUCUAAACAGGCUCCAUAAGCUAGCUUGACUGCGAGAGUGACGGCUCGAGCAGGUGCGAAAGCAGGUCUUAGUGAUCCGGUGGUUCUGAAUGGAAGGGCCAUCGCUCAACGGAUAAAAGGUACUCCGGGGAUAACAGGCUGAUACCGCCCAAGAGUUCAUAUCGACGGCGGUGUUUGGCACCUCGAUGUCGGCUCAUCACAUCCUGGGGCUGAAGUAGGUCCCAAGGGUAUGGCUGUU